GUAACAAGGUCUCCGUUGGUGAACCAGCGGAGGGAUCAUUACCGAGUUUACAACUCCCAAACCCAAUGUGAACCAUACCAAACUGUUGCCUCGGCGGGGUCACGCCCCGGGUGCGUCGCAGCCCCGGAACCAGGCGCCCGCCGGAGGGACCAACCAAACUCUUUCUGUAGUCCCCUCGCGGACGUUAUUUCUUACAGCUCUGAGCAAAAAUUCAAAAUGAAUCAAAACUUUCAACAACGGAUCUCUUGGUUCUGGCAUCGAUGAAGAACGCAGCGAAAUGCGAUAAGUAAUGUGAAUUGCAGAAUUCAGUGAAUCAUCGAAUCUUUGAACGCACAUUGCGCCCGCCAGUAUUCUGGCGGGCAUGCCUGUCCGAGCGUCAUUUCAACCCUCGAACCCCUCCGGGGGGUCGGCGUUGGGGAUCGGGAACCCCUGAGACGGGAUCCCGGCCCCGAAAUACAGUGGCGGUCUCGCCGCAGCCUCUCCUGCGCAGUAGUUUGCACAACUCGCACCGGGAGCGCGGCGCGUCCACGUCCGUAAAACACCCAACUUCUGAAAUGUUGACCUCGGAUCAGGUAGGAAUACCCGCUGAACUUAAGCAUAUCA
rnacentral:rRNA from 1 species